AACGAACGCUGGCGGCAGGCUUAACACAUGCAAGUCGAACGGGCGUAGCAAUACGUCAGUGGCGGACGGGUGAGUAACACGUGGGAAUAUGCCUUUCGGUUCGGAACAACUCGGGGAAACUCGUGCUAAUUCCGGAUACGCCCUUACGGGGAAAGAUUUAUCGCCGAAGGAUUAGCCCGCGUUGGAUUAGCUAGUUGGUGAGGUAAUGGCCCACCCAAGGCGACGAUCCAUAGCUGGUUUGAGAGAACGACCAGCCACACUGGGACUNAGACACGGCCCAGACUCCUACGGGAGGCAGCAGUGGGGAAUCUUGGACAAGUGGAGGAAACUCUGAUCCAGCCAUGCCGCGUGAGUGAUG
rnacentral:rRNA from 1 species